UAAUACUUCCGGCAUUGUAAAAAAACUUAGAAAGUAUUGGUUAUUGCUAACUUUUAUACUAUUGAAAUCCAUUCAAUAUCCUUUCUGUUCCACUUUAUGACCACAACUUAUAUAUACUGGUAUGCAAGUGGAAUUCCAAAUGUUGGGAUACCCAGUGCGUCAACAAAGAAGGCAUCUUGUACAAUUUCAAUGUCACUUUCAGUAGCAAGUGUCUAUACCAGGAUCGUGUCAAUACUAGAAUACUAAAGUCAGAUCGCAAUUGUGGAUAUGUCAGGUCUGUGACAAAAAACGAAUGAAACAAAAACAAAUUUUCAAACAUUUAGUCAGUUGUUGUUGACUUCUUCAUUUUCAAAUUUGGAAAUGUAAAAAAAAAAAAAAAAAACUUGAAUUAAUAUUAUUCAAUCAACAACAUGAAUAGAAUGUUUAAUGUAAAUUUAUUUUUUGAGAGCUAAACGUAAUUAUUUGGACAGUUGUUUAUACUGCUAUCAGUAGUGCCGUAGCUCUUUUAGCAUUAAUUACAGUCAUGUUUGUUCGAGGAGGACAAACAGAAAAGAUAAACCAGACAGGUAAUGUAUUAAUGACCUUUGCUAAAACAAAGAUUAAGAGGAUACCAGGGCGUAUUUUGAAAUCAUAAUUCCAAUAAUAACAGACAACAUCAUGGACAAAAAUAAAAACAAGAAAAGGACAAAGAACAAUAACGAACAUCACAUGAAAAACUAAAGACAAAGCAAACCCGGGGGCGGGUAAACUCAGGUGCAACUAAAAUGUAAGUCGUUGUGUUGCUGAAUGCAGAAGCAAGUAAAAAUCUGGUAAUGAAUCGCGUUCGGUAGUGUCACAACUGAAUGUUGAAAACUUUCUGUUGGUGAAGUAAGGGAUCGGCAUUUGUGUAGCUUUGCUUAAUGUUUAAUUUUUUUUUUUUAAUAAGAUUCAUAUGGUAAAUGUUUAUCUGUUUUAUGUAUUCCAACCGUUUGCAUGAUGACACUUUGCUGAUGUUAAGGAGAACAGGAAUCAUACAUUUGAUUUUAACAACAUGCGUUUUUUUUACCACAAAAUGAAUGUUUAAUUUCAUGAUGAAAGCAUUAUAUUCUGCCAAAUAUUGUUGUUGCGUUUCUAGUAAAACUAUACAAUAAUUGAAUUUCAUAUGAAAUAAACAAAACAAAUUGACAAAUAACAUUAUCUUUGUUUAAAUGUAGUAAUGGUAAAUGAUAUCAGAAUGCAACAGGCCAGUGCAGACAUAAGUCUUGAGCAUCGAAGAACAUCAUAUGACAGUAUCAAUUCCAAUCGGGAAUAUGAGGAUAUUGAUAGUGUAAUUUCAAAUGCAGAUAACCAACAAAACAUCCUAGUCGACACUUCGUACUUUAAUGAAAUAAUGAAUGAUAGUUCACACGAAUAUUACAAUGAGGCAUCUAAUGAAUAUGUUGGUCUAAAUACAAAUAGGGAGCUACAAGCAUAUUGGAUAUAUGAUGCAGAAUAUCAAUAUUUGUAGUUAUGUCGUAAUUGAAAUGUUCAGAUACCUAAAACUCAUUUGAUAUUUGUUUCCUGAAAUAAAACCUUGUAAUUUUCAAGUACUUUAUGACAGAUCAAAUAAUAUUAAUUAAAAUUUUAUGAAUAACAUUAACAGUACCAAUUUUACUACACCAGAAGCGCAUUUUGACAAUUAAUGUCUCUUCAGUGAUGCUCGAGGUCAAAAUAUUUGAAAAUCCAAACAUUUUGCAAUUAUUCUUGCGUUGGAGUGUAACUUAAGUAUUAAGGUAGAUCAAUAUUUGUAAUUAAAACCGUAAGGGCUUUUUUUGAUUAUUUACCGAAGUAUAGUUUAAAUCAUGACAAAAAUUAUUAAAAAAAGUAUUUGUUUCA